GUGGAGCCAAAAGUACUUUUGAAGAAAAAUAGGUUAAUAGCUGAGAGGAUGGUGAAUGCAUGCUUUCAGCACACAAUGCCCCUUAUGUUGAAAGGGCUUGGCGCUUUAAGUUGCUCUGUCAGAACAGAGUUCUGGGCAACCAGUGAGAUCCUCCAUCAUUUUCCCUACAGCCGUCACUGGUGACGGCUGGGGAAAAUGAGAAGCUUAACAAAAAGGUAGCUCUGCCUUUAUGUCAAGCGGAGGAAAGAUAUGGAGACAAAUCCUACUUUGUCUCAUAGUAUCUUUUGACUGGGCUGGAAUUUCAGUGAAAU